GCAUGGUAAUGGAUUUAUGGUGGAGUCUGUACAGUGGCAACCCCAUAGUGUAUCCCAUGCAAAAUUAAAUAACUGCUCCGAACCAUUGGCAGGUCCCUUUCACCAUAGACCUGAUCACUGAAGUGAGCUGCACAUCG